AACCGCCGCCACCUUCUCUUCCUCUCUAAACAAAAAUCCUACCGAGCCAAACCGCCGCCGUCUACUCCAUGCCGCCGUCGCCGUGGACCGCCGCACGCCUAGCUGGGCAGCAGAAAAGGACUGCCUUGAUCUCCUCGUCGCCCUCGUCUGCUUCACGGAACCUGGGACGCCAAGAGCUGCUCGAGAUCUUCCACGUCUACACCGUCUACGUCCCGGCCACCUCGAUGUCCUCGACGCCGGCGACCUCCUCUGCCUCCCCUUCCUCGUCGUCGAGCACCCCAGGCAUUUGCUUCUUCCCGGAUAGGAUCACGAAGUGGUGUGGUGAGAUACGACAAGUGCUCUUGCAGCUUUUCACAGGCGAGCCCUCUCUCUUCACCUAUUUUACUCUCUCCCUCGCAUUGCUAUCCUUAUGUUGCGAUUCUUUAUCGUGUCACGUGUCCUAUUCCACUUGUUUACCAUAAUAAUCCUAUAUGUAUCAUUCCUUACCCAUAGCCGUUGCUUGAUGUUUGAGCCAUGCGAGUCGUAGGCGUGUUUAGGCUCUGUUGUUUAUCCUGAUUUGUUAUCGGGAUAUGUUGGGUUGUUGGAAGGUUAUCACAUGCUAUAUCAGUUGUUGGAGAUACACAUGCUUUACUUAAUUGUUAACAACUAAAAUUGUAAGCAGAGGCAUCUGUGAGCCCCUUUGCGAAAGCAUCGGAACUUUGACUUGCUAAUGUCCCCUAGGACCCGAGCUCUUGUUAUCUGUUCCGAGAUUGAGCGCUCUACCCGUACGUGGGGGAGUGGGACCCCCAUCACCCACUACCUUUCCUCGAGUCUGUUUAUUGGGAGCUACAACCUUGGUUUUAUUUGCUCAUAUGCACGAUGCACGAUUUACUUCCUGUUGCCUUCGGGUGUUUAUAUUUUGUACUGUACUCAUAUUGCGUGCCGACUUAUCUUUGGCCGGUCGUUAGUGCUCGCCUUGGACGCCAUCGCAACCUCUGGGUCCGUAUCGGAGUACGGCCGAACUUCGUCACGGGUAGCUUAGUUGGGUGGCUCCCCUUAAACUUUCUCUUGCAUUGGGAACGGUCUUGAUGUGAGACUCCACCUGUAGUAAGUGGGUUCGAGCAUGCGUAUGGUUACAUUUGGGCAACCCCUGCAGGGUGUACAUCUUAUCGAUAAGCCGUGUCCGCGGUUAUGGACGACUUGGAAUUGUAUAGCUUGAUCAUAGAACAACUUACACCUUAUACUUGUUGUUAAUAAUCUGAUAAUAACUGGCAUAGUAAUAUAGCAUUACUACAACCGAUACCUAAUAAAACUUGUCCACCGUUGAGUGCCUUUUACAUUGCCUCUUCGCAAUUGUUGAAGGGGAUAUGUGUAUUUGGCUGGGUUAUGUGUGUGUAGUAUUUUACCUGUUACCUUAUGCGCUCUCUUAUCUUAUCUGAGUAGACGGAUUUUGUAGUGUGUCUCUAUUGGUUCUAGUUUUGCUGUCGCUAAACCUACCAUAUAGCCCCCGGCGAUAUAUAUAUAUACUCGCCCGGCGAGCAUAGCCAUUUCUAAUCUCGCUAAGUACGUGCCGGAGUUCGUUCCUUGGUACUUACUCUCGCCUUUUCCCCUUUCUCUUUUGCUUCCUCCCUUUUGUCGGCAACCGAUGGCCCGACUUUGACAGGUACAAGAUGACGACGUUAGCAAGGUUACCCUUCCGGCUUGGCCUGGGCAGGGUUAUGGACGUCACUGGUUAUCUUCAGGACUCUUAGUCCAAUUUGUAUCUUGUCCGUACUCGGACGUAUUCGAUCUUCUGUAUGAGUUGGAUCUUUGUAUUGUAUAUCGUUGGAGUCGUUGUUGUAAUAUAUGUAUCUUGUGGGCUCUAUUAUAA